rnacentral:snRNA from 1 species
AGCCAUUUAAGUUGACUGACUAUAGUAUCUGUAUAGUAUCUGUUCUCAUCAGUUUAAUAUCUGAUACGUCCUCGAUAAGAGGACUUUAUAUUAAACGGAUUUUUGGGCGUGGGAGUUGGAUCCGGAGCUUGCUCCCUCCGCUCCGCGCAUCGUCCUGGUAUUUUUUUUUCCCAGGCAACCAGCACCAGAA